UUUUAAUUUGCAUUCCUGCUGACAAGGUUCCUCUCCCCACAAUACCUGGCGAAGUACAACCACCCCAUCUGCAGUGGAUACUGAAAAUGUGGAGAAGAGAAAUCCCCAUAUUUCGACUAUACAUGGAAUGGAAGCAUGCUGUAUACUGGAGAACAUAGACCCACAAACUCUUCUGGUGGGAGGACAAUUUUUUGGGUCAGGGUGCAACAAGAGCAUACCUUCCAAAAUUCCACAGCUGAAAAUUGGGAAAUACAAGCAAUAUCACAACAUGAUCGAGAUGGCAAAACCUAUUAAUCAACUAACUUGGAUGGGCAAGUUUCUUCUCCUUCCCCCACUGCUGAAUUACAUGAGCACAAACUCAGCUUGCUGGAAAUUGAAAUAAACUACGAACUAAAGAGACAAGGAUGAAAGGAGCAGAGAGACACCAGAGCAUUUUAAAUUCAUCUGGAAAAAUGGAAUGAUAGAGGAUUAAACUGGAACCACCCCUGCAAAAUCAGAAUAUUUGAGAUAUACAUAAUGGAACAUGUACAACUUCUGAGUUUUGUGGUCUUUCAAUAGUGGUAGUGGCGCAGGGUUUUCACAAGAACAUUUAACUUGAGGUCACAACUGUCUUUGGCCCUGACACUCCAGCCACACUUGAAGCAAGAUCCAGUGAUGUUACAAAGGCAAUGUUAUAAGUGACAGUUCCUGGUGAUGUCAUUAAACUUAACAUAUUAAAUAUCAAGCAUGGUUGCACAGAGUACACAAUUCAAAUAAAAACCACCUAGCCUAGUAAAUUAGUUUUUAUACACCACAGACCAGGUAGGAAAGGAGAAGGAAGUAAAGGAAGACUUUCAGGGCAGUGCUCUUACCCUGAGAUUUCUUCCCCGUUAUGAGAAAUUCAGAAGAUAAUCCAGGGCCUGAGAGCCAAGGAACCCUAACUUAAACUGCAUUAUCAAUUCUAAAAACGUAUUUAUUAUGAUUGCAUGCUGCAAUGAAAAAGGAAUUCAAGUAGAGUCAAAUGAAC
rnacentral:lncRNA from 1 species